rnacentral:rRNA from 1 species
UGUUUCGGCUAGGGGGCCAUCCCGGCUUACCAACCCGAUGCAAACUGCGAAUACCGGAGAAUGUUAUCACGGGAGACACACGGCGGGUGCUAACGUCCGUCGUGAAGAGGGAAACAACCCAGACCGCCAGCUAAGGUCCCAAAGUCAUGGUUAAGUGGGAAACGAUGUGGGAAGGCCCAGACAGCCAGGAUGUUGGCUUAGAAGCAGCCAUCAUUUAAAGAAAGCGUAAUAGCUCACUGGUCGAGUCGGCCUGCGCGGAAGAUGUAACGGGGCUAAACCAUGCACCGAAGCUGCGGCAGCGACGCUGAUGCGUUGUUGGGUAGGGGAGCGUUCUGUAAGCCUGCGAAGGUGGCCUGUGAGGGUUGCUGGAGGUAUCAGAAGUGCGAAUGCUGACAUAAGUAACGAUAAAGCGGGUGAAAAGCCCGCUCGCCGGAAGACCAAGGGUUCCUGUCCAACGUUAAUCGGGGCAGGGUGAGUCGACCCCUAAGGCGAGGCCGAAAGGCGUAGUCGAUGGGAAACGGGUUAAUAUUCCCGUACUUGGUGUUACUGCGAAGGGGGGACGGAGAAGGCUAUGUUGGCCGGGCGACGGUUGUCCCGGUUUAAGCGUGUAGGCUGGUUUUCCAGGCAAAUCCGGAAAAUCAAGGCUGAGGCGUGACGACGAGGCACUACGGUGCUGAAGCAACAAAUGCCCUGCUUCCAGGAAAAGCCUCUAAGCAUCAGGUAACACGAAAUCGUACCCCAAACCGACACAGGUGGUCAGGUAGAGAAUACCAAGGCGCUUGAGAGAACUCGGGUGAAGGAACUAGGCAAAAUGGUGCCGUAACUUCGGGAGAAGGCACGCUGACAUGUAGGUGAAGUGAUUUACUCAUGGAGCUGAAGUCAGUCGAAGAUACCAGCUGGCUGCAACUGUUUAUUAAAAACACAGCACUGUGCAAACACGAAAGUGGACGUAUACGGUGUGACGCCUGCCCGGUGCCGGAAGGUUAAUUGAUGGGGUCAGCGCAAGCGAAGCUCCUGAUCGAAGCCCCGGUAAACGGCGGCCGUAACUAUAACGGUCCUAAGGUAGCGAAAUUCCUUGUCGGGUAAGUUCCGACCUGCACGAAUGGCGUAAUGAUGGCCAGGCUGUCUCCACCCGAGACUCAGUGAAAUUGAACUCGCUGUGAAGAUGCAGUGUACCCGCGGCAAGACGGAAAGACCCCGUGAACCUUUACUAUAGCUUGACACUGAACAUUGAGCCUUGAUGUGUAGGAUAGGUGGGAGGCUUUGAAGUGUGGACGCCAGUCUGCAUGGAGCCGACCUUGAAAUACCACCCUUUAAUGUUUGAUGUUCUAACGUGGACCCGUGAUCCGGGUUGCGGACAGUGUCUGGUGGGUAGUUUGACUGGGGCGGUCUCCUCCUAAAGAGUAACGGAGGAGCACGAAGGUUGGCUAAUCCUGGUCGGACAUCAGGAGGUUAGUGCAAUGGCAUAAGCCAGCUUGACUGCGAGCGUGACGGCGCGAGCAGGUGCGAAAGCAGGUCAUAGUGAUCCGGUGGUUCUGAAUGGAAGGGCCAUCGCUCAACGGAUAAAAGGUACUCCGGGGAUAACAGGCUGAUACCGCCCAAGAGUUCAUAUCGACGGCGGUGUUUGGCACCUCGAUGUCGGCUCAUCACAUCCUGGGGCUGAAGUAGGUCCCAAGGGUAUGGCUGUUCGCCAUUUAAAGUGGUACGCGAGCUGGGUUUAGAACGUCGUGAGACAGUUCGGUCCCUAUCUGCCGUGGGCGCUGGAGAACUGAGGGGGGCUGCUCCUAGUACGAGAGGACCGGAGUGGACGCAUCACUGGUGUUCGGGUUGUCAUGCCAAUGGCACUGCCCGGUAGCUAAAUGCGGAAGAGAUAAGUGCUGAAAGCAUCUAAGCACGAAACUUGCCCCGA